AACCACGUCAUUCCAAGCACUCAGUAUAAGAGACGUCUGCUUUUCACUGUAUGUCUAAAGGCAGCUGUUGUUUGCUGAGCACUGUUGAAUUUUUAACACAUUGUUUAAGGGUAGAACCACUAUGAACCCUCACUGUCCACAACAGCCAGGGGCCUGGGGAGCACCUGUCUACAACCCAGUUCCACCACCACCAGGAGCCUACUAUCCACCAAUGGCUCCUGGGCCUUAUGCAGGGUAUCCACAAGGAGGUUUUGUUCCCUUUAAUAACCCCUCUGCUUAUGGACAUCCUCAUGGACAUCCUCAUGGACAUCCUCCUGGGCAUCAUCAUGGGCAUCAUCAUCAAGGUCAUCAUCAUCAUGGACUUUUUCAUCAUCAUGGUCAUCAUGGAAAACACUAGAACAAGCAAACAAGAGACAAGCAAUUCUGAAGCAUUGUCUGCAGUGACUCCUCACAGAGUGGAGUGGAUGAAGAAUUAAAAUCCUGUUCUCACUUUAUUUUCUACAUUCAUAUGAAAGUACUAUAACAAAUAUUAUGGUUUCUCAUUUUUAUUUACAAAAAAAUCUAAUGCAGAAUCCUUAGCACUUUAACAAAGAGGACAAUGAAGAAAAGAUAAUGACAAGUCAUGUUUUAAUAUAGCAAAAAAACCUUUUGAUCACAUUUUUUGUUUUUAAGCUAUUUUGUACAUUAAACUGUACUGUCUA